ACGUGAGCAACCUGCCCCUGACUCUGGGAUAAGCGCUGGAACGGCGUCUAAUACUGGAUAUGUGACGUGACCGCAUGGUCUGCGUCUGGAAAGAAUUUCGGUUGGGGAUGGGCUCGCGGCCUAUCAGCUUGUUGGUGAGGUAAUGGCUCACCAAGGCGUCGACGGGUAGCCGGCCUGAGAGGGUGACCGGCCACACUGGGACUGAGACACGGCCCAGACUCCUACGGGAGGCAGCAGUGGGGAAUAUUGCACAAUGGGCGCAAGCCUGAUGCAGCAACGCCGCGUGAGGGACGACGGCCUUCGGGUUGUAAACCUCUUUUAGCAGGGAAGAAGCGAAAGUGACGGUACCUGCAGAAAAAGCGCCGGCUAACUACGU
rnacentral:rRNA from 1 species